CGCCGCGUGAGUGACGAAGGCCUUCGGGUCGUAAAGCUCUGUUGUAUGGGAAGAAAAAAAAUGACGGUACCAUGCGAGAAGGGACCGGCCAACUUCGUGC
rnacentral:rRNA from 1 species